GAUUAAAUGUGUGACUGGUUGUGCCUCUUGUUGAUUUUACGAUAGUAAGGUAGAACAUGUUGAUAUGUGUAUGCUGUAGUCUGCAAGAGUGUGUUGAGAAGAUACAUGUCUAAUGUUGUUCUGAUUUUGAUUUGAAAACUGGUUCUCUGAAAAUGAAAAAUUUCUAUAGCUGUUUAGAUGCUCUCUUUACUAACUUUGUUUCUUAUAUUCUGAUUCACAGUUUAAGAUAGCCCUUUUUUCUACUUUUCAUUUUCUUCAGGAUUGAAAUUGUAGAUAAAUGCUUUUGCCAUGACACAAUGGAACAGAUUGUUGAUUCUUUGAUACGAGAGGGUAGAUUUUAAACUCUUGACCAGUGCUUGUUGCGUGAGUACCAUACGACUUUAUAAGCAAAAUCUAAGCAGAUUUCUGGUGACUUUUGUGAGGUAAUGAACAUUGCCAGCAUUACAAAUCCAACAUCAUUCAAAGAUGAGGUUUCUAGGUGGUUUAUAAAUAGACAACAGUGAAGAAAACACGAGGACCUACACAAUGCUUGAAGAUUCAUGCAAGACAGUUGGAAAAUAGAGAAGAAAUUACUCUAGAUAUUGAAGGAGAGGCAAUUGGUCCUACUGAUGAAGCUGUAAACAACUUGAGCAAAUUUUUGGGCACAGUGGCAAGGAAUUUAGAUUUUGUCCAUUAAUUUACACAAAUUGAAAGGGGAUUAAAGAUAAAGAAGUCAUUUAGGAAUCUGUUCAAGUGAGAAUAUUAUUAUUGUUAGCUAUUUCAACUCUUCUUUGUUAUA